rnacentral:lncRNA from 1 species
GGAGUUGGGGACAUUUGGGGACAUCAGGAGGGGACAGGGAUGUCACCAGCUGGUGGUGGUGUCCUUGGAGCUGGGGACAUUUGGGGACAUCAGGUGUCCCCAGUGACGGUGGCGAUGUCCUCGGAGUUUGGGACAUCAGGAGGGGACAGGCGGACACCCAGAGAUGUCCCCAGGUUUGGGGACAUCUGAGGGGACACCCAGGGAUGGACAGACAGAGACCCAGAUGGACACUCAGGGCCACAGGAGGGCGACCACGACACUGGGUGACACUCAGGGGACACCUGGGGACAUCCCCGAGUGGCCGAUGGCGCUGUCCCCAGACUUGGGGACACCCAGAUGGACAUGCAGUGACACGGGACGGCCACAGGAGGGCGACAACGACCCUGGGGACACUCAGAGGGACACAGGAGGGCCACAACGACAUCUGGGGACACUUGGGGACAUCUGAGGGGGACACUCAGGGAUGGACAGACAGACCCACACAGACUUGCAGUGACAGGGGAGGGCCACAGGAGGGCGACAAAGACCGCGCUGACACUCUGUGCCACCUGGGGACACCCGAGGGGACACCCAGGGACACCUGGGGACAUUGCCAGGCCCCUGAUCUCACUGUCCCCAGACUUGGGGACACCCAGGAUGGAUGGACAGAGACCCAGACGGACACGCAGGAACACAGGACAGCCACAGGCGGGCGACACUCAGGGGGGACACAGCGAUGCCACAGUGACCCCGGUGACACUCAGGGACACCUGGGGACAUCUGAGAGGACACCUGGGGACAUCCGAGGGGACCCCCAGGGACACCUGGGGACACCCAGGGAUGGACAGACAGAGACCCCAGCCAGGGAUGGACAGACAGACCCACACAGACUUGCAAUGACACGGGAGGGCCACAGGAGGGCGACAAAGACCCCGCUGACGCUCGGUGCCACCUGGGGACACCCGAGGGGACCCCUAGGGACACCUGGGGACAUCGGAGGGGACACUCAGGGACACCUGGGGACACCCAGGAAUGGACAGACAGAGACCCCACCCAGGGAUGGACAGACAGAGACCCCACCCAGGGAUGGACAGACAGACCCACACACACUUGCAAUGACACGGGAGGGCCACAGGAGGGCGACAAAGACCCCGCUGACACUCGGUGCCACCUGGGGACACCCGAGGGGACACCCAGGGACACCUGGGGACAUCCGAGGGGACACUCAGGGACACCUGGGGACAUCCGAGAGGACACUCAGGGACACCUGGGGACACACAGGGAUGGACAGACAGACCCACACAGACCUGCAAUGACACGGGAGGGCC